AGAGCGGAGAUCGUACAGAAAACAGGCGUUUAAAUCGCUAAUUUUGCGCGGUAAUGGCACCAACGGAGUCUACCAUGAUCGGAAAUCAAUUUUGGAGAGGCUGGGGAAUCGAGGGGAGAUGUGAUGUCGGUUCGAACGCUCGCAAAUUUCGAAUAGUGGCGUUAGCAACUUUCGUCGCCCCCCUCCCCCUUGUCCGGCUGGCAUCGCAGCAAAAUAACAAAGCAGCAUGAACAGCCUUUGCCUUCGGAUGUACUACUACGGCAGAUGCAGCAGAAGUUGUAAGGACAGUCUAGAUGAAAGGCACGCAACUGCCAGAAGUUCUGAGUCUUUGAGUACCUGACUGCUGCUACAGGCUCCUUAGGAACUGACUCCGAAGAAGGACUCCAUAUCACCACCAAGACAUCCAACAUGCAAACACAGA